UCGGUAAUUGCUCUAAAAAACAUUUUUGUUAAUUAAAUUUACAUAUAUUUGAUUUGUAAUCGAAUGAUUCAUGUAACAAUUUGUAUAAAUGGAUGUAAACAAUGUAUCUCUGAAGGAUGUCAAAAAUAUUAGCAAGAAAAUAAAACAAAAGAAAAUUAUUGUGCAUCCGGACACAGAGGAUGAGUUUUCAAUUCAUUUUUAUCGUCAAAAUUGGCCUUUAACGAUUGUAUUCAUUUAUCUGGGCGUUGUUACGGCAGGAAUAAUUUUUUUGAUAAGUUACUGGUAUCCAAACCAUCGUUUGAAAUUUACCCACAACCGAUGCAGCGUCGAAGAAGCAUCUAUAGUGCACAUUCGUAAAAAAGAUGGAGGGCAACGUUUUAUUUCUAAAAUAAAAAUAGUUUCUAUUGGAAGUUUUAAUUUAGAAAACGAAAACAACUUUACCGAGUUUGAAAAAAAAAUCGUCAAGGAAUCAAAUAUACGGUAUUUUGAAUUUAUGUUUUUGCGUUACAUAAUUUGCGAAAAAACCAAUACAAUAAUUCCUUUAGCAGAUGCAGAUAAAAAUUGGAAAUUUUCAGACAUUUUUUACUGUAAAAACGGAAUCAAUAUUUUUUCGGUGAUUACAAAAUUAGCAAUAUAUAAUGUAAAUUACAUUGAUGUACCAAUAAAAUCGUACUUCUUGAUUUUUUUGGAAUUAUCUUUGGAUCGUUUUUACAUUUUCCAACUAGCCAGUAUAACGAUAUGGUUUAUUGAAGAUUAUUACUUAUACGCUUCAUUUAUACUUAUAAUGACAAUCAUUUCAUUAAUGAUGAAUGUAUAUAUGACUAAAAAAGCAAUGCAAAAACUGCACAGUAUUAUACCCAAAUCAAAAGAAGUUCAAACCCUGCGACCAAUAGAAACGUCUUUUACAACUUCAUUUCAGGUUAUUACAAAGUCAUCAAGAGAACUUGUUCCUGGUGAUAUUUUAGUCAUUCCACUCAAUGGAAUGGAGUUACCGUGUGAUGCUAUUCUAUUGAAUGGACAAUGCAUUGUAAAUGAGAGCUCGUUAACAGGUGAGAGCAUACCAAGCAAUAAAAUAGCAAUUGAAGAAGAAUUGAACUCUGAGUCUUUUUACAAUGUGAAUUUAUACAAACAUAACACACUAUUCAACGGCACAACUAUUGUGCAAGCUAUUUCUGAUAACGAAGACAAAAGUGUCCUUGCUUUAGUCUUUCGAACAGGAUUUUAUACUCUAAAAGGUGAGUUGAUUCGGUCAAUUUUAUAUCCUAAACCAGUUCACUUGAAAUUUUCAAGCGACUCAAUGAAGCUAUUGCUUUGGAUAUCAUUAAUGGCAAUAUUUGGUUUUGUUUACACUGUUGUUGUUUACAAAAAAGUAGGUGCAAGUAACUCAGAAAUAAUAACAAAUGCUUUGGAUUUGAUUACUGUAAUUAUACCGGCCGCACUACCACUUAUUUUAUCCAUCGGUUUGAUGGUUGCAUCUCGGAGGUUGCAUAAAAAAAAUAUUUUUUGUAUUGAUCCAAAUCGCAUAAAUAUAUGCGGAAAAGUUAAGUUAGCACUUUUUGAUAAAACCGGAACUCUUACUGAUGAUCAUGCAUCUGUCAUCGGGGUAGUACCUGUUAUUAAAGGAAAUAUUAAACACUUUAAAAGUACUUCUGUUGGAAUAACCGAUACACACUUGUUCAAAGCAAUGUCUACGUGUCACAAUAUGUCAAAUGUCGGUGCAAAACUUUCUGGAGAUUUAAUUGAUAUAUGUAUGUUUGAAUUUACUAAAUACAAGUUUCACGAUUCAAACUUGGAGAGUUUAAUGAUUCAUUUCAACAUUCCUAUAAAUUUCAAACCACAUGUAAAAGCUUUUGUUUCAUCAGAAAACCAGAAGCCAUUUGCUAUUUUAAAGUAUUUUCCAUUUGAAUCUUCUUUGCAGAGGAUGAGCGUUGUAACUAUUAAUGAUAACGAUUCAUUUAAUGUUUAUACAAAGGGAUCCCCGGAAAAAAUAUUGUCUUUGUGUAAUAAUGAUAGUAUUCCUAAGGAUAUUAAAGAAGAAAUAGCAAAGUAUACUAGCGUAGGUAACCGUGUUUUAGCUGCAGCACAUAAAUACAUUUCAUUUGUCACUGAUUGGAGCGAAUUAAACAGAAUUUCUCGAAAUGAAAUAGAAUCAAAUCUUAUCUUUUCAGGUGUAAUUAUUUUUGAAAAUGCCAUAAAACCGGGUACACAUGAUACAAUUAAAAUACUUUCUCAAGCAAAUAUAAGAACAGCAAUGGCGACUGGUGACGACCUACUAACCGCAUCUUUUGUAGCAAGAGAAAUCAACAUGGUAACUCCUGAUCAAGAUCUAAUUGAGCUUACAUUUAUAGAAGAAAAUGAAGUUUACAAAAAAUUAGAAAAUCAUAAAAAAGCAAUAUUUUUAGAAGAAAAUAGUACUAUUGAGCUGCAGCAUUCAUUAGACUAUGAUACUCAAAGAACAGCAAACAAUCCAAAGUUUGCACUUGCGCUAACUGGAGAUUCUUACGAAAAAAUUCAUCAACAUAAACCACACUUACUGCCUAAAAUUUUGGUUAGUGGAACAGUAUUUAGCAGAAUGUCUCCAAAUCAAAAAACUACUCUUGUUAAAGAUCUUCAAAAUAUUGGCUACGGUGUUUGUAUGUGUGGAGAUGGAGCAAAUGAUUGUGGAGCGCUAAAAGUAGCUCAUACUGCAGCGACAGCACCGGUAGUGAAAAAUAUUAUGCAGCUCACCAAGAAGAGUAGAGCGCUGUUUGGGACUUCUGAGAAAUGUAUGGAUCCAUCAAUGGUUGGUUGUUAUUGUUUGUUAACUUGAAAGACUGACAACUUGACAGGGGUCUAUUAGAAGUUAUAUUCAAUUAUGCCAACAAUCACAUUGUUGGAUUAAUGAAGAACAGAUUACGGAAGAAAUCAAUACACAGGUAUUGCACUCUCUUACGCAGAAGCAUCAAUAGUAGCACCAUUUACAUCAAAAAUAUUCAAUAUUACGUGUGUUCCAACGCUAAUUAUGGAAGGACGCGCAGCACUUGUAACAUCAUUUGCAACAUUUAAGUAUAUGAUACUCUACAGCAUGGUUCAAUUCUUUGGUGUCAUAAUUCUUUAU
rnacentral:misc_RNA from 1 species